rnacentral:pre_miRNA from 1 species
CUUGCAGGCGAGACCCUAUCAAUAUUGCCUCUGCUUUUCUGACUUAUAAUGGAGUAGUGCAAUAUUGCUUAUAGGGUCUUGACU